UGGGGAAUUUUGGACAAUGGGCGAAAGCCUGAUCCAGCAAUGCCGCGUGUGUGAAGAAGGCCUUCGGGUUGUAAAGCACUUUUGUCCGGAAAGAAAUCCUUGGCUCUAAUACAGUCGGGGGAUGACGGUACCGGAAGAAUAAGCACCGGCUAACUACGUGCCAGCAGCCGCGGUAAUACGUAGGGUGCAAGCGUUAAUCGGAAUUACUGGGCGUAAAGCGUGCGCAGGCGGUUUGCUAAGACCGAUGUGAAAUCCCCGGGCUCAACCUGGGAACUGCAUUGGUGACUGGCAGGCUAGAGUAUGGCAGAGGGGGGUAGAAUUCCACUGUAGCAGUGAAAUGCGUAGAGAUGCGGAGGAAUACCGAUGGCGAAGGCAGCCCCCUGGGCCAAUACUGACGCUCAUGCACGAAAAGCGUGGGGAGCAAAACAGGAUUAGAUACCCUGGUAGUCCACGCCCUAAAACGAUGUCAACUAGUUGUUGGGGAUUCAUUUCCUUAGUAACGUAGCUAACGCGUGAAGUUGACCGCCUGGGGAGUACGGUCGCAAGAUUAAAACUCAAAUGAAUUGACGGGGUCAUAGCUGUUUCCU
rnacentral:rRNA from 1 species